AUUGCAAGGAGGGUGUUUGGGGAAUUAAAUGAUCUUUGGGGGAAAUUGUAUAAAAGCUAAACUUCUAUUCAAAUGUUAGUUAAAAUUGGGUUGUUGGGUUGAUAAUCCCUGAGACUUGUCUUGUUUUAGUGGGACGGGCUUGUGGAGCGUUCUGAGGAAGGAGCGGGGUGAUGGGUAUGAAGGCCUUGCUCAGGACUGGCACUCAGCUUGUGGCAGAGAUACGGGACCUGCUCAGUCCUGAGUCUCCUCGUCCUCACAAGCGGAGCUCUGCUUUUAUUCCAGGUGGUGAUGUGCCUAGAAAAAGAGAGACAUUUCCUCGUCUCCUGGAAGUAGGAGCAGUUGGUUGGUUUUCUAGAAAUCUUCACAAAGGCUGCCUCAGCUGGGAGAGGUGCCUUUUUGCCCUUCCUCUACCUCUUUUUUCUCUCUCGGAAAGCAAAGACGAUGGCUGGCAUUCCUACAGCCAUCUUGGACCAUGAGGUGACCUUGAAGAUAAGAUAUAAGCUUUGCGCUAAACACGUUGGAGAAGAAAGAUGAAAAGCAUCUGGUCCCUGAUGCCUGUGGAGCUGCCUUUACUGCCUCGGGCUGCCCACUUCAGGCUUCUUUUAUGGGAGGGAAAAUAAACUUAUGCUUUGAAUAGGUAAACUAGAAAAGAGAACCCCGGUCGCCGCCGCCUGCCCCGCCGCCUGCCCCUCUGCCUGCUCUGGGAGGAGAGACUCAGCUGUUCUGCCUCUUCCUCAGCCGCCUCCUCGUUGCUGCGUUUUCCUGCAUUUAAUGAUUGUAAAAGAUAAAGAAACAGAAUUUGAAUGACCUCAUUUCUGUCAUGGUAUGUGAACAUUUCGAGUGUUUCUUUGGGUUUAAAAUUUGUAACGGUGAAACACUGUAAGCCUGUGGGGUACAGUAUUUUUAUUAAGUGCAAAUUUAGUUCAUACGUGAAAUAUUUUACUGAAUGUGAACAAUAUCUUUAAAAUUGAAGUGUACUCUUUUUUAAAGUUAUAAUUAUUUGUUUAAUAGUUUUCUGACUUGAACUUUUUGUCGAUAUUUUGAUUUUAUUAAAGUUUACUCCACUCUUUUCCCCUCUGGUAAUCACUAAUCUGGUCUUAUACGUGUGUUUGUUUAUCUUCCACAUAAGAGUGAAAUCAUACGGUGUUUGUCUUUCUCUGUUUGACUCAUUUUGCUUGGUAUAAUACCCUCAAGGUCCAUCCGUGUUGUCACAAACGGUAUGAUUUUAUCUUGUUUUAUGGCUGAGUAGUAUUCCAUUGUGUAUAUACACCACAUCUUCUUUAUCCAUUCAUCCCUUGAUGGGCACCUAGGUUGCUUCCAAGUCUUGGUAUUCUGAAUAAUGCUGUGAUGAACGCAGGGAAGCAUAUAUCUUUUCGAACUAGUGUUUUCGUGUUCGUUGGAUAAAUACCCAGAAGUGGAAUAGCUGGAUCAUAUGGUAAUUCUAUUUUUAAGUUUUUGGGAAAUUUCCAUACUGUUUUCCAUAGCAGCUGCAGCUUUUUCCUUUUAUGUACAUAAAAUAAACUUUCUCUUUUACUGGCAAGAUUAUAUAUAAAGUAUAAUAAAGGAAAAUUUUCACUUCCUGUGAAAUUUUCACUGCCUUUUCUGGCCAUGUUAUUUUUUACUUUCUUUCAAGAUUUUGAUGAAAUAAUUUUGUUGAAUAGAGGAGAUGAUAUUAAAAAUUAUCUGCUCAGGGGCUGGCCCUGUGGCUGAGUGGUUAAGUUCGUGUGCUCCGCUGCAGGCGGCCCAGUGUUUUAUUGGUUCGAAUCCUGGGCGCGGACAUGGCACCGCUCAUCAAACCACACUGAGGCGGCAUCCCACAUGCCACAACUAGAAGGACCCACAAAGAAGAAUAUACAACUGUGUAUCGGGGGGCUUCGGGGAGAAAAAGGAAAAAAAAAUUAAAUUAAAAAAAAUUGUCUGCUCUGGGUGUUAAAUACGCGAGAGAGGCCACUGACCAUAGGUCUCUCUAUCCUGAGCACGGAAUGCCCAAGUGGCGUGUGGGGGCCAAAAGCGCAGGGCUUCCCAGUUGAUUGAAGAGAAAAUUUUUUCUCCAUUCACAGUUCUGUGGACUCUAAUCUUAAGGAAAAUAGCAGCAGCAGUAGUCAAAACCAACAGCUUCUGCAGGCAUCAGGUGGAUAUUCCCAUGAUAUUCCCAAACAGCCAGGACUGAGACUUCCUUCAGUCUAGGUCAGACAAUCCAACAGUCGCACCUUAAAGUCCACCCACUUGCUGAUCUGUGCAGGAAGGAGCAGCCACUUGUGUCCCUUUCUCUGUGAAGGUCAUUGAUUUCUCACUCUUGUCCUGUGCAGGGCUUUUCUUCCAACGUCCUUUGACACUGAAUUAACUUUAAUUCUAGCUGGGGAGGAAACUCUGGGUUGGAAUGGACGACCUUGCCAUAGGUCGAUGAGACCGCCUGGGAGUUAAUUGCGCUGUAACUCUUUCGCUGCUUGAAGCUCAUUAACUUUCC
rnacentral:lncRNA from 1 species